AUACGUAGGGAGCGAGCGUUGUCCGGAAUUACUGGGCGUAAAGGGCGCGUAGGCGGCGCUUCAAGUCGUCUGUCAAAUGGAAGGGCUUAACCCUUUUUCGCAGACGAAACUGGAGAGCUUGAGAAGCAGAGAGGCAAACAGAAUUCCUGGUGUAGCGGUGAAAUGCGUAGAUAUCAGGAAGAAUACCAGUGGCGAAGGCGGUUUGCUGGCUGCAUACUGACGCUGAAGCGCGAAAGCCAGGGGAGCGAACGGGAUUAGAUACCCCGGUAGUCCUGGCAGUAAACGAAGUAUGCUGGGUGUGAGACUAGCGAUAGUUUCGUGCCGAAGUUAACGCGAUAAGCAUACCGCCUGGGGAGUACGGUCGCAAGAUUGAAACUCAAAUGAAUUGGCGGGG
rnacentral:rRNA from 1 species